AUUCGGACAAUUGGCAUUUGCACUUGGUCGAACGGCCACUGGUGCAAAGCUACCAUCCGCUGGAUUAGGACUGAACGCCUCUUAAGUCCUCAUCCACGCUAGAGGCAACGACCCUCAUACGGCCGGAGGGUGGAGGUGAAGCGAGGUUAGUCCUCGGACUUCCGCAGCCGCAACCGGGCCGGGCGCCUCCGGGGGCCUCGUGAGCGAGGGCCUCCGGUCGCCCCUGACCCCUCGACCCAAACAGACUCUUCUCCGGCUACGAAUCACUUGCAGACGACUUGAUACGGACGGGGUGUUGUAAGCGGUAGAGUGGCCUUGCUGUUACGAUCCGCUGAGAGUAAGCCCGCGUCCUGCGAUUCUA
rnacentral:ncRNA from 1 species